rnacentral:lncRNA from 1 species
UAACUUAUAAACUGAUAAUAAGGUCUGAUAAGCAGAUAGGUAUAAGACCCCGUAAUGAAGAUUACAUUCUCAUUCCUGAUAUUAUUUCUGCUUUCUGCCAUGUGUUGUGAGGGUGGCUCAACACAUAAAGACGUAACUUGCACAUUUCCAAAUGGCACUUCGCGGCCUGACGGGUCACCUUGUUUGGUAAAACGUUCCGGCAGUGAAUGUGAGGGGGGGAAAUGCCGUGAUGGUUUCUGCGAAAUGACUGAAUAUGAGAAGAAUUGUGAAACUGCCUAAGACCCAAUUAAGUAAAAAUAUAUUGCUGGAAGGAACACAGAACUGGUUCUACAAAGCCUGCCAGAUGACGUUUACUCUUGUUUUUCACUCAUGAUUAAAAUUAGCCACUUACAUUUCAGCUGUCGCCCCACCACGGUGGUCUAGUGGUUAUGGCGCUCGACUGCUGACCCGCAGGUCGCGGGAUUGAAUCCCGGCCGCGGCGGCUGCAUUUCCGAUGGAGGC